GCUUACUAGAAACGUGAUUACAUAAAAAUCCAUAAUCUAACGCCAUCGGACAACAAAUUCUGCAUUCUGCCGCUCGGUCGAUCAUUCAUGCUUUUAUUAAAUAAAAUAAUGAACCAGCUAUUUUAAAGAAUGUUUCGCAUAACACGAGGCAUCAGAAAUAUUACGAAGCCGACAUACCAAUAAUUUGAAUCAUUUUUGUGCUGUCGUAAUAAUUGUUAUAAUUCUUUGGAGUCACAGACUCUGUAUUUUUUAUUUCUACACCUUAUGGUAUCGCAUAAAAAUAAUAAAUAUUUCUUGAAAUAUUCAAUACCGUACGAUAGGCAAACGAUACAACGCAUGUACGAUCUCGCGAUGUUGAUGUUCAUAAUGUUCAUAAUGAAUAUCGUUGAAAAAGUAGCCCUUUCGACUCUUUGUUACAGUUUAUUCAGUUUAAUAUUGUUCAUUUUCCGAGCAAUCAGAUGAAGUUUUAAUCUAUCUCGAACAUCUAGCUCGUAUUAUGCAACAGUAAUUCCAGCUGUUUGGAGGUAGGUUCUUAGAUGAUUCGCAUUAGGUUCCGGAAUUUGACCGAGAAGAUUAGGCAAUUGUCCUGGCGAUAAUCUUCCUAAUCCUUGCGCUAAGUGUAAUCGCACAUCGCCGAUAGCUACGAUGAUUAAAAUACAUGUCGAAUAAAACAUAAUCGACUUUCUAAGUGUACAGAAAUGAAAGAAUGCUUGCAACAGUACCUUCUAACGGAUCCUUUGACGGAUUUUUUGCACAUAUAAGUUGAUUGUAUCCUACUUGAUAUCCAAGCACAUCCUCAGUUUCUGGGAAGAUAUUUUCUUCGGGUACUAUGCUUUGGUCCUGUGGAAGUUCAAAAAAUUCCACUAAUGCCGCUAAUAUGCGCGGAUAAUACGUACUAUAUGGACUUUCUAGCAUCGCCGGGCAGUCAAUUAAUAAAUUUGAAAUUCCGACUGCCGUUACUUUACGUUCGAUAUCACCCGAUAUCUUCUGCAUAUCUAUUAUUAGCACGCGUUCCACGACCAUACCGAACAUCCU